GAAUACAUUGCGUGGACAUCAUCCCUGAGUCGGUUGCCCAGCCGUGCCAGUCUGCAGCACGGAGUUUGCUGCACAGCAGAACUACCAUCCCAAAACCUACCAGCGGUGCGACAAAGAAUAAUUAGGAGCAGAAUCUGGUACCGCAAAAUAUUGAAUUGUAAUGUUAUAUUCUGACCACAACGUUUUGACCUUUGACUCCAUUUUUAGACACCUUCAAUGCUUAAUGUCAACACAAGAAGAAUAUAUACAGCGCUGAAUCACCUGGAAAUGAGCUUUGCUAAAACCAUGUUACUGUUACGUAGACAAUUUAUAACUUAUUCUGGC